AGUUUACAGUUAUAAAAUAAAUAGUCUGUCUGAAUGUUAACUGUAUUGUCCGUCGCAAAUCGUUCUUUUCGUUUUUAUAUUUUGAUACGGCUGCUAGCUAUUUUCUUGUGCUCGCAGUUCUGCUGCCUUCGUUUUCACUGAAAAUAACAAAAUUUAUAUAAAUCUACAGAGAAUUAUUCGAACUAAGAUAUAGUUGUUAGUUUAAAAUAUUUCUUAUUAUCAUUAAUUAUUUUUCCACUUUCUAUUUAAAUCUUGAAUUUCGAACUAAAGCAAUGGUUGGCACUACAGAAUUUCCGUUGAUUCCUAAAAUUAUUAACGGUGGCAUUGCUGGUAUAAUUGGCGUGACAUGUGUUUUCCCCAUUGAUUUAGUGAAAACGAGGCUGCAGAACCAGCAAGUUGGACCACAAGGACAAAAAAUGUAUUCUUCUAUGUUGGACUGUUUCCGUAAAACUUAUUCUAGAGAAGGCUUUGUUGGCAUGUACAGAGGGUCUGCAGUUAAUAUUCUCCUCAUCACUCCUGAAAAAGCCAUAAAACUUGCAGCUAACGAUUUCUUCAGACAUACGUUAUCAUCUGGAUCUGGUAAAUUGCCGUUGCAAAGAGAGAUGCUUGCUGGUGGAUUAGCUGGUUUUUGUCAAAUAAUUGUUACAACUCCCAUGGAACUGUUAAAAAUACAACUUCAAGAUGCGGGGAGAGUUGCUUCUAAAGGUGCAGCUGAAAGUGGAACCGUUGCUGCAACUUCUGCAACCUCCAUUGCCCUGCAACUAAUCAGGACAAGAGGUAUUGCUGGCUUGUACAAAGGAACUGCUGCUACAAUGCUAAGAGAUGUUACUUUUUCAAUGGUAUAUUUCCCUCUGUUUGCACAUCUAAAUGCUCUGGGGCCUCGGAAAAAAGAUGGCAGUGGCGAGGCAGUGUUUUGGACAUCAUUUUUAGCUGGUUGUGGAGCUGGCUCUACAGCAGCCUUUACUGUUAAUCCAUUUGAUGUGAUUAAGACUAGAUUGCAACUACUCAAAAAAGCUAGUGGAGAGAUGACUUACUCAGGGAUUCCAGAUGCAUUUGGAAAAAUUCUCAAAAAUGAAGGACCACAAGCUUUCUUUAAAGGGGCAGGCUGUAGGAUGAUUGUAAUUGCACCUUUAUUUGGAAUCGCACAAACUGUUUAUUAUUUAGGUGUAGCUGAAUAUUUGCUGGGUAAAAAGCGAAGUCAUAUGUACUGAUUUUUGCAUAUUUUCUUGCUCCCCAUCCUUUGCAUGCAGUGAUGAGUCUGAAAACUAAUGAAUAACAUUGCCAAUUGAUUUGCAAAAGAGGCAAAGUCACUGGAAUUGUCCCCAUUAUCAAGCGUUUACUGUGAUGCACAUGAUUUAAAGUUUUUAGACCAA
rnacentral:misc_RNA from 1 species